rnacentral:rRNA from 1 species
GGAUGCGAUCAUACCAGCACUAAAGCACCGGAUCCCAUUAGAACUCCGAAGUUAAGCGUGCUUGGGCGAGAGUAGUACUAGGAUAGGUGACCUCUUGGGAAGUCCUCGUGUUGCAUUCCC